rnacentral:lncRNA from 1 species
UUUCCUUUCCUCUUUUCUUCUCUUUUUUUCCUUUUCAGAAGGAAUAUGACAGUAAUAAGAAUUGUCAUCCUUCUUUUCUUUUCUUUUUUCAUUUUUUUCUUUUUUCUAUUCUUUCUAUUUUUUUUGCCAACUUUUGAAAUAUCACAACACUAAUUCAACCCCAUACAACUCCAUAUAAGACUCCCGCAUCUCCUUAAAUAAGGUGAUAAUAUUGUUUUCGAUUUUAGGAUUGUAAUGAGUUAUAGAAAAAAAUGGGAUAAAUUGGAUCAUACGGGUUUCA